CUUAAAUGUACCACGAUAGAGACAGAGAGAGGCGAUGAGUACACGGAGAAAGAAGCAGAGAAAGAGAGAGGCGAUGAAAUCAAAAGCAUAGGCAGAACGGUAAAAGGCACGGAGUGGGGACUGGGAGAGAGUAAAUCUGCCACCAUCAUCCGUUUUUCUUCACGCUGCCACUCUCUAAUACGCAAACCGAAAUCGUGAGAUAGAGUUCGUAAGAGGGAUAAUCGUUUCGGUACAAAUCAAAAGAAAAAAGACUGGGAUAGAGAGGGGGAGUUCACUAAGAGAGACAGAGUUUGUACGGUGUUAAGAGAGAAAUAUCUAAGUUCCACCGUUAUGGUCAGUUUUUCCGCCGCCAUCCGUUCCCUUGCCAGACUCAGAACACCGAAACCGCAGGCACACACAGGAAUUGAGAUUGAGGAAGAGAAAUUUAAGUUUCAUUAACUCCGUCGAUCUGGCCAUUUACCUGCCAUCAUCAGAUCGCCGAAACUACCACCGGGUCAGCGAGUUUUUUGGGUCCAGCAUAUAGAGAGAGAGAAAUCUGAAGGACACUGCCACUGUCAGGCCAGCCUCCUGCACCGUAAGACUAAAAAAUUUCAAUGAUGGGGGGUUAUGCAACAAUGAAAUGGGCCACAAUAGCUUUUAUUGCAAAUGUAGAAGCCACAGAAACAGUUUCAUUCUUGGUCUACACCAUUGAGAGAUCAGCAAAAUCUUAAGCAACUUGGAGUCAACAAGCCUACAGCUCUUGCUUUUAUGCUCUUUGCUUUCAUGUGGAGGGUGGCAUUGACAAAUUGUUACUUUCUAAUUGGAAGAGUUAAGAGUUCCAAUAUGGUCAGUAUAUUUUGUUUUAGUAUGUCUAAUCUUUUUAGAAUAUUUGAAAAUGAACCAAAUGCUAAAAUCUUAAAUUGGGUUUCAUGACUUAGUUUUGGGUAUUUUGGUUGGGUUUUAGUUUUUUGGGUUAGAUUUGUAUUUUGGUUUGGGUUUCUAUAUCAAAGCCAGAAUUUUUUCCUUUCCUUCGAUUUGAAUAUAACUAAGAUUUAUGACUUAGUUUUGGGUAUUUUGGUUCGGUUUUAGGUUUUUGGGAUAGAUUUGUGUUUUGGGUUUUUGGGUUUCUGUAUCAAAGCUUUGUCUUUUUAGUUUAUAUUCUCUAUUUGUCUUUUAACGUCGUGAAUGAUUUCAGGAAUAUAGCACUAACGCAGAAGAUUAACCUCAAGUCGAACUGUGGACCUGUCAAGGUGAAUGGUGAUGUUUCAAUUCAUCCGAGUGAAAUAGAGCUGGCACUUCAGUGCAUCAUGGCUAGAAUAUGGCUAAUCUAACUAAAUUGUUUUUUGGUUAAAGAGAUCUUAGACUUAAUUUUCUGCUAUUGGGGAAUUUUGAACUUUUGGCAUUGUUAUUGAACCUAACUCUAUAUUACACAAUUGUCAUUUUUGUUUUUUUUGAAGUGAUUGACAUUAACAAGCCUUUAUUAAAAAUAUUAACUAUUGUACAU